CACAUGAGCGGCGCCGCUAUAUCCAGAUCUUCCCUUUUUCCUCAUCUCCGUUGUCUGCAUCCUUCUUCCCUUCAAUUCCAGUCUUCUCCAUAUUCACCUUCUCCCUCGUUUGCCCAUAUAAUCGAGCAUGGCUUUCUCUGACCGCUCCCAAAAAUAAAGCCCUAGCUUUCGCCCCCUCUCCCCUUUUCUCUAUGGACACCUACAUUUCAAAAUCGAACGAAAAUGUCAGCGGAAAAGACGAAGCAGCCGCUAACGCCACCACAUCUUUGUAUGGUGGUGGAGCCGGAGUGAAGUUCCUGUCGGCGUCAUCUCCCUCCUUGACGACGAUAAAGUCGCCGCCACCUCCCUCUAGACAUCACGUAUCCAGCCGCCGCCAUCCGGGUUUCAAACGACGGCGUCGCCCAGCAGAUUAGUUUGUUUUUAUAUACUGAUUUAAGAUUUCAUUUUUUUCGUUUCUUAGUUUUUCGUUUUAAAUUUUUAAUUUUUNUUAUAGUACUAUCAUUUUUGUAGAUCUAUGAAUAUCAUCUUAAAAGAAAAGUUUUUUUUUUUUUUUGCAAAUCAGCUUGUUUUUAAAAUACUGAGUAAGAUCUUUAUCUUUUUGCAUAAUUAAUUUUUUCGUUUUUCAGUUAUUUAUUUAUUUUUUGUAUUUAUGGUGUUAGAUUUAUGAAUACCUAUACAAAUGGGUUCUUAAAAGUAGUUGCUUUAUUUGCAGAUUACUAUGAAUCUGCUAUAAACUCUUCUUUCAUCAUCUUCGAUAAAAAAAUUUGUAAUCAUAUAAUCUUUUGUAGACUUGUUCACUUGAUCGAUAUUUGGUGAAUCUGGCUUUUGAGAUUUUGAAUUCUUAAUUUUUGAGAUUUUGAAAUACUCCGAUUGAUUUUGGAUUUUUGGAUUUUGAAAUAUCUUUGGUCUCUUUUUUUACAUAUUUUAAUAUAUGUUCUAGAUUUUUUGAAAAAAUAUACUUUGUAUUUUUUUUACAGAUUUAUGUGUUUUUAAUUUCCAUUUGCACGUUUUUUUCUGUUUUUCUGCAUUUGCAUGUUAGAUCUCAAGGAUUUCAAUUGAUUCUUGGUAUUUUCUUUUUUCUCCAGAUUAAAUGAUGAUACUUGAAAAUUCGAAAUUAUUUUUUAGCAAAUAGCCAAGCUAAGUGUAUUAUCGUUCCUCAUACUUUUCCUUGACUACUAAUCACAAGGCCGUAGCUGAAAAUCCAGCUUCAUUUCUCUUGCCAGUUAGAGUCGAACUGAAGCCAAAAAGUGGAAUCAGGUAGCUUCAGGCCUUCAACUUCAUUUUUCAAUACAUACAUAUUGAGAAAAAUACAAAUGUUUGUAUGUGUUUCUAUCUUGAGCUGAAUAUCCUUAUUUCAAAGGAAUGAUUCAAAUGUGAAACAAAAUUCGUUAUUUCUGUGGCUUUUGCAGAUUUGAUAGGCAAUACUUCCAUGCUUCAGAUCCAAGUCUUCAUCUGCGGAAUUCAGAAAUACUAUUAGUAUCACAGUUUGACAUUAUGUAUAAAGUAGAAAAAGAUGUUGUAAUAAUUGUUUAGUAUUUGAGUUGUAAUUGAUCCUAAUAGUGAAUAGCAAAAAAAAACUAAACAAAAUAAAAAUGAGAGUACCACAUAGAUACAUAAAAACCAUAAUAUAGAGAGGGAGAGAAAAUAA
rnacentral:lncRNA from 1 species